AACGAACGCUGGCGGCAGGCUUAACACAUGCAAGUCGAACGCGUGCAGCAAUGCACGAGUGGCGCACGGGUGAGUAACGCGUGGAUAUCUGCCUUUUGGUUCGGAAUAACCCCGGGAAACUGGGGCUAAUACCGGAUGGUUCCUACGGGAUAAAGAUUUAUCGCCAAAAGAUGAGUCCGCGUCCGAUUAGCUAGUUGGUGAGGUAAUGGCUCACCAAGGCGACGAUCGGUAGCUGGUCUGAGAGGACGAUCAGCCACACUGGGACUGAGACACGGCCCAGACUCCUACGGGAGGCAGCAGUGGGGAAUAUUGGACCAUGGGGGCAACCCUGAUCCAGCCAUGCCGCGUGAGUGAUGAAGGCCUUCGGGUUGUAAAGCUCUUUUGGCGGGGACGAUGAUGACGGUACCCGCAGAAUAAGCCCCGGCUAACUUCGUG
rnacentral:rRNA from 1 species